GUCAACGUGUAUUCAUAAAUAUGGUUAUUCACCGUCACGUGUGUAUUUCUGCCAAAUCCACCAAUAGCAAUUUCCAGUUUCGCUAUUGUUCGAGUCACGGGUAGGUAUAACUUUCCUAAAACAUUGCUAUUGGUUAGUUGGGUAAAAAAAUAAUACACACGUGAUGGUGAAGGACCAGAUUUAUGAAUAAACGUUGAC